rnacentral:rRNA from 1 species
UAGGGAAUCUUCGGCAAUGGGGGGAACCCUGACCGAGCAACGCCGCGUGAGUGAAGAAGGUUUUCGGAUCGUAAAGCUCUGUUGUUAAGGAAGAACGAGUGUGAGAAUGGAAAGUUCAUACUGUGACGGUACUUAACCAGAAAGGGACGGCUAACUACGUGCCAGCAGCCGCGGUAAUAUGUAGGUCCCGAGCGUUGUCCGGAUUUAUUGGGCGUAAAGCGAGCGCAGGCGGUCAAUUAAGUCUGAUGUGAAAGCCCCCGGCUCAACCGUGGAGGGUCAUUGGAAACUGGAAAACGUGAGUGCAGAAGAGGAAAGUGGAAUUCCAUGUGUAGCGAUGAAAUGCGCAGAGAUAUGGAGGAACACCAGUGGCGAAGGCGACUUUCUGGUCUGUAACUGACGCUGAUGUGCAAAAGCGUGGGGAUCAAACAGG